UUUACUUUGCAUUUGUUUUAUUUAAUUUUGUUUGGAGUGUUGUGUUGGUCAAAUCUCUGUUCAUUUAAGCUGUGCAAACUGAACAAUAACUUAUUUAAACAAACAUAUUAAAUCUACGCAGUAUUUAGAUGUGCUGAUUAGCUGCUGUACUUCUCUGUAGUUAUAGCGCUAUUUUCUAAGACCCUGAAAAGUCACAAUAUUGAACUUUUUUUCAAUGACAAAUUUACAUUUUCAACCCUAAAGAAACAAAACUUCGUGAGCACUUUGUGAUAGAUGAAUCUGUUUUCAGAUCCUAUAACUGAAUAUUUAUACCUCAUGCUUCAAACAACAUUUGUAUUAUUGUGCUCCAAGCAGAAAUACAUGUUACUGCAUAUUUGAUAGGUUCAUGUUGAUCUUUAUGGAAUAACAGGGUGAUAUUGUAGAGAUUGUGUGUCUGUGUAUAAAUAAUGGGUCUCUAGAGAGAGUCUUGUCUUUAGGUGAACACUGUGUCCAUGCUAGUUUUGUUUUGACUGUAAGCCACAUUCACCAGGUUAGUAAUCACAUCAGUCACAUUAAAUGACUCUGUCACAUAAAACCACUCCUUUCCCCCCCUAAUUCCUAAAGGAAAAUUAAGAUAUUUUAAGAAAUCCCUUCCACUAUGAGAGAUCUAUCAGCCUGGAUGGAGCUGUCUUUGUGCUAAGCUAGCCUACAAGGUAAACAGUUCUCAUCAAACUUUGUGGACAAAAAAUAAAUAAAUAAAAGUAAAGGGAAAAGGGAACUGAAGAUCUCACACUGUUUAAUGUGAUGAUCCGUGAGUGUCUUUCACUUGUACAAAACAUGGAAGCAUUUUUUCUAUCACUCUAUGAUUGUACAGUACUGCUUGUAUAAUUUACAGGUGAAGCAUGUAUUUUAAACUUUUUGUAAAAUCCAAAUGAUUACUGUGUACAUAGAUACAGAGAUGUAGAAAGCAGUUAGGUUGCAGUUAAUCGCUAAUAGCAUGAUAAUUAUCGGGGUUUACUAUGUAUGUACAGGCUUUCUGUUAAAUCUUUAUGAAGGGAAACACUUGAAAAUCAGCUGAAAUCAGACUGCGUGCUGUCUAUGGAUAAACUCUGAAAUGCAUUUUUUGUGCCUUUUAUAUCAAUGUAUGUAAUCUAGACAAUCUUGAAAAGCUUGUGUACAACCAAAAUGACAAUAAAAUGGUUCUGGGGUCGAAUAUAUU